rnacentral:tRNA from 1 species
AGCAGCGUGGCUCAGUGGAAAGAGCACGGGCUCGGGAGUCAGAGGUCAUGGGUUCGAAUCCCGCCUCUGCCG